rnacentral:sRNA from 1 species
AUUGCUUCUUGGCCUUUUGGCUAAGAUCAAGUGUAAUAUGUGAUCAAAAUAAAAUAAAAAAGGCUGGGGAUUAGUGGUAGAGAAUCUGCCUAGCAUUU